rnacentral:miRNA from 2 species
UGAGCCCCUGUGCCGCCCCCAG